rnacentral:rRNA from 1 species
GACAGAGGGUGCAAACGUUGUUCGGAUUUACUGGGCGUAAAGCGCGUGUAGGCGGCUUGGCAAGUCGGAUGUGAAAGCCCACGGCUCAACCGUGGAAGCGCAUCCGAAACGGCCUCGCUCGAGUCUCGGAGAGGAAGGUGGAAUGCUUGGUGUAGAGGUGAAAUUCGUAGAUAUUGGGAAGAACACCGGUGGCGAAGGCGGCCAUCUGGACCGGAACUGACGCUGAGGCGCGAAAGCGUGGGGAGCAAACAGG